rnacentral:tRNA from 1 species
GAGAGUAUAGCUCAGUGGUAGAGCACAUGCUUAGCAUGCAGGAGGUCCUGGGUUCAAUCCCCAGUACCUCCA